rnacentral:rRNA from 1 species
CGAAUGGCGUAAUGAUGGCCAGGCUGUCUCCACCCGAGACUCAGUGAAAUUGAACUCGCUGUGAAGAUGCAGUGUACCCGCGGCAAGACGGAAAGACCCCGUGAACCUUUACUAUAGCUUGACACUGAACAUUGAGCCUUGAUGUGUAGGAUAGGUGGGAGGCUUUGAAGUGUGGACGCCAGUCUGCAUGGAGCCGACCUUGAAAUACCACCCUUUAAUGUUUGAUGUUCUAACGUGGACUCGUAAUCCGGGUUGCGGACAGUGUCUGGUGGGUAGUUUGACUGGGGCGGUCUCCUCCUAAAGAGUAACGGAGGAGCACGAAGGUUGGCUAAUCCUGGUCGGACAUCAGGAGGUUAGUGCAAUGGCAUAAGCCAGCUUGACUGCGAGCGUGACGGCGCGAGCAGGUGCGAAAGCAGGUCAUAGUGAUCCGGUGGUUCUGAAUGGAAGGGCCAUCGCUCAACGGAUAAAAGGUACUCCGGGGAUAACAGGCUGAUACCGCCCAAGAGUUCAUAUCGACGGCGGUGUUUGGCACCUCGAUGUCGGCUCAUCACAUCCUGGGGCUGAAGUAGGUCCCAAGGGUAUGGCUGUUCGCCAUUUAAAGUGGUACGCGAGCUGGGUUUAGAACGUCGUGAGACAGUUCGGUCCCUAUCUGCCGUGGGCGCUGGAGAACUGAGGGGGGCUGCUCCUAGUACGAGAGGACCGGAGUGGACGCAUCACUGGUGUUCGGGUUGUCAUGCCAAUGGCACUGCCCGGUAGCUAAAUGCGGAAGAGAUAAGUGCUGAAAGCAUCUAAGCACGAAACUUGCCCCGAGAUGAGUUCUCCCUGAGACUUAGAGUCUCCUGAAGGAACGUUGAAGACGACGACGUUGAUAGGCCGGGUGUGUAAGCGCAGCGAUGCGUUGAGCUAACCGGUACUAAUGAACCGUGAGGCUUAACCUUACA